AGGUGCUGCACAGAGCACAAGGAAUGCAAUUCAGAGCAGCAGACUUCUAAGCUGCAGGAGGAGAGCAAGAGCCCUGAGCUGAGUGAUGCCCUGGCGCCAGCUCAGGAUCAUGUGGCUGAAUCCACCUCCUCAGACCUGAGCUGUCUUCCCAAGGACCAGCAUGUCAACCACCCAGCAGAGAUUGAUAGGGAGGCAGCAUCCGUUCUCUGGCAUCCUGUGCUGAUAGAAGAGGCCUGGGUGGAGACAGAGGUGGGGACAGAAGUCCUUGUCUACACCAUAACCAUCUGAAAUGUGCUCCCCACCU